AGAAUUGCUAGGGUUGAAUUGCCACCAUAUUUGUGACCAUGAAAUUUUGAGCGUGAUUAUUUUUAUUUAUGGCGCCAUAUUUUAUCCACAAUUAAUUCACCUAACCGGCCUCUCCACUAAUUAGGGUUUUGACUGAAUAUUAUUCACCCUUAUACAUCAUUCCAUCAAAGCUUGAAUCAAAGAACGAACUUCUGCAGAAGUUGCUGUUGCGCGAUUGACGUUCGGUUUAUACUUCUGAUUGACAGAUUUAGUAAUCAAGGGACUGCUACCCGGACUAUUUCAUCAAAUUUAAUAAGUUUGUGGUCCGGUCCAUGGGACAGCUGGAGAGAUGUUCCUAAUGAGCACAGGACACGAUUGUUUGAGCGAUCCCAGAUGUAUUAUCAAUGGGAGGAUAAAAACAAUGCACAAAUUGAUAGGUGCUGGGAGAAGUGCAUUGCUGAUCUGAGAUAUGGAAACAAAUGCUUGACCAUUGGAACACACCUAAGAGGAAAGCAAAGUCUUUAAGAAACAAAGACAUUAGAAGUAGGGCAACCGGCGGCAAACAUACACUAGGAUCUCAAUCCUAUGUGACCAUGAAAAGAAAAGCGAAAAGGAAACUUGGGCGUGAAUUGACAGUUCGUGAAGCGUGGAAGCAAGCACACUUCAGGAAACGAAGUCGACCAUUGGAUAAAGAUCUAAGUUGUAGCAGUUCACUACUUUUGGAUGUUGAUUCUGAAGGGGACGCUCAAGAAGAAAAUCUUGUAUGGGUUGAUGCUAGGGCAGAGGAGACUUGGGUUAAAUAUGAAGGUUUUCUUGAGGAGAAGUAUGGGAAAGAACGUAAUAAACAUCCAAAUUUUGACAAAGACUUGUGGUCACGAGCUGAGGGCAAGAAGAAAGGAAAAGUGUAGGGGUUAGGCAAUGAUAGUGACCCGUGUGUACAUAGCAGAGAAGACCCUGAGAUUGAAAAGUUAAACUUAGUUUUCAAGGAGCUCGUUAAGGAAAAAGAUGAAGAAAUAGAAAGGUUCAAUGGAAUUAUUGCGGGGUUGUUGGCUGACAAAGAAAAAGAUAAGGUGGAUAAAGAUGCGUUGCUUGAUAGGAUGUCACAAAUUGAAGAUAUGUUAACAGUUACAGUUCGAAGAUAGGCUAUAAACACUUGGUUUUGAAUGUUUAGAUGUUUAUCUUAUUAGGAUAAUUUUAAUUGGUUUAUAUUUUAGUUGGUAUUUUUUAUAUGCUUUUGAAAACAAGAUGUUUUAUAUAAUU